rnacentral:rRNA from 1 species
CGCUACAUGAUGAGCCUAUGUUAGAUUAGCUAGUUGGUGGGGUAAUGGCCUACCAAGGCAGUGAUCUAUAGCUGGUCUGAGAGGAUGAUCAGCCACACUGGAACUGAGACACGGUCCAGACUCCUACGGGAGGCAGCAGUGGGGAAUAUUGGACAAUGGGCGCAAGCCUGAUCCAGCUAUGCCGCGUGAGUGAGGAAGGCCUUAGGGUUGUAAAACUCUUUCAGUAGGGAAGAUAAUGACGGUAC